rnacentral:misc_RNA from 1 species
AUUAAACAUGGCUUCAAGUUCAACAUCAUCGACAUCGUCUCGAUCAUCGUCAGAAAACCAAAGUAGUGAUCGAGAAAAGGCUAGUAUAGGAAUGGAGAAAAGUCCAGACAAAGGUUCUAAAAGAAGCUCUUCAUCAGCUCAUGAGAAGACGCCAGAACCGUCGACAUCUGGAGUGUCUCCGAGUAGUAAACAAGACUCUGCAGAAAAGAAAAGAAAAUAUGAGCCAAGUGAGGCAGACAUGAAAGCAUACAAACACAAAAAAGAAAAGCAAGAAGAAGAAAGAUUGAAGAUGCAGUUAGGUGCUUGUAUCAAAUUUUACAGAAGAACAGCUAAACAGAUAUGAAAUGUUCCGAAGAGCUGCUUUCCCAAGGGCAGCCAUCAAAAGGUUAAUGCAGUCCAUUACAAGGACCAGUGUGUCCCACAAUGUGGUGAUAGCAAUGGCGGGAAUAGCCAAAGUGUUUGUGGGAGAGGUGGUGGAGGAAGCUUUGGACAUUAUGGAAAAAAGCAAAGAAACUGGACCAAUACAGCCCAAACAUUUACGAGAAGCAGUGCGUAGAAUUCGAAAAAGAGACAGUCUCUUCAGACCCAAAAAAUCUCUACUGAACACCUGAGUGCUGUAUGAUCAGAUGCAGGGAUCAGACAUAUUCACAUGGAUUUAGAAGGAGAAAAACUUGAAGGUGCUUAUUGUGUACCUUUACAUGCAUUUAGAAGGAGAUAAACUUGAAGGUGCUUAUUGUGUACCUUUACAUGCAGUGUUUUAUGGCCCAUGUUCUGAAGCUAAUGUUGGACAGAGAGACGAUGCUUUCUACAACAUUGUAGCAGUUGGUGAAAAAAUUAACAGUGAAUAUCUGAUAUGAAUUCACUUCAAUUGCUUUUGAUUGAUGAUAAUUUUCAUUGAUUGUUAAAGAUGUAUCGCUCUGAGAGCUUUGCUUCUGUGUUUAUACUGGUACAUGUUGUUAAACUCAGUACUACCUUUAAUUUUUCUACCAGCCCAUGGUAGGUAAGCUCUGUGUCAUUUAUGUAUCAUUGAAUUCAUGAAUGAUCAAUCGUAUAUUUAAUAUUAUUCCCACAGCUUUUAAUUCAUCCACAAAUUUUUAAAGCUUAAAUAUUUAAGACUUUUUGUAAUAUAAAUACUUUAUUCCUACAGUAUUACUGUUUAUUAGCAAAUUAAACUAAUUCAAGAUCUGCAAACUGGAUACUGUAUAAAUGAUUUUCAUAUGAGUCAAGGGUGAGUAACUCUUUCAACCUUGCUUUUACAUCACUGACCAGGAACGUACAAUUAACAGAGCCUACAGAGCACAUUUCCAACAAUGUUGUUUAAUUGUUUUGUCAAAUUAAAAAAAAAUGAAGAAUGACUUAUAACA